UGCAGGUAUGUUCCAAUGUUUGUGGAGAUAGAGUACGAUCCGAACUGCUAGUACGCAUCUGUUCUAAUGGAAGAGCAACUGGAGGCUCUUGGAAGAGCAAUAGUUGCUGGCAAGGCAAUUGAAAAUGAGAAUUGAUCUUUUUUAUGGGCGAAGUGUUGAAGAUGGCUUUGGUGAAGGAAAUGUCUUGUUAGCAUCAAGUAAGUGGCGACAUCACAACCCCUACAAGCUUGUGCCUUAAAACAAGAGGAUACAAGAAGUUGGAGUGCUUUUGUGAAGGCUUUUGCGAAUCACUUGAAGCGUUAGUACUUUUGUGAAUGAUUUUGUAAAGUGUUUGCAAAUAUGUGCAAAACAUAAUAACAUGUGUAGGUUUUGUGAAUGA